GUAGGUGGCAAGCGUUGUCCGGAAUUAUUGGGCGUAAAGCGCGCGCAGGCGGUUCUUUAAGUCUGAUGUGAAAGCCCACGGCUCAACCGUGGAGGGUCAUUGGAAACUGGAGAACUUGAGUACAGAAGAGGAAAGCGGAAUUCCACGUGUAGCGGUGAAAUGCGUAGAGAUGUGGAGGAACACCAGUGGCGAAGGCGGCUUUCUGGUCUGUAACUGACGCUGAGGCGCGAAAGCGUGGGGAGCAAACAGGAUUAGAUACCCUGGUAGUCCACGCCGUAAACGAUGAGUGCUAAGUGUUAGGGGGUUUCCGCCCCCCUUAGUGCUGCAGCUAACACAUUAAGCACUCCGCCUGGGAGUACGGCCGCAAGGCUG
rnacentral:rRNA from 1 species